UUUUACUCAAAAGGGAUUUUUAUGUAGCAUAAAACAUACAAAUCAAAGCAAAAAAACCUCUAGCAUAAAACUCAAAUUUAAUAAAAUUUGAGUUUUAUUAAAAUCAAAUACUCAAAAAAAGCUCUUUCUAUGUGCUCUAUCGUUGAAGCUGAAAGAAGAACCUGAAAGAGUUUACUAGAUGGGGAAGGACGCAAAGGCUGGUGGGAAGGGUAAGGGAAAGCAAGCCAGUGGCAGUGAUGAAGCUCCUCCAAGGGGAAAGGAAAAUCAGGAAAGGCUGCUGAUGGUCUCGGGACAUGCACCUAUGUGAAAGCGAGACAUGUACUAUGCGAAAAGCAAGGAAAGAUCAACGGUGACAAGGUUCCUCCUGCUGAGUUUGCAAAGGCCAAUGAUGCUUCCUGUUUUCUUGUUUAUGAAUUGAAACAUCCAACCUAAGAUCGUGCCAGUGAUUUUGUUCUUCCAUCUCUAGCUGUGACAUGUUCAUAACAGCUGAAAAACCCAUUUCAAUACCUCAAACUGAGACAUGCAAGUUUCAGUUUUUCGGCUAGCUAUAUGUACAUAGAUGUGUGUGUAAUAAUAAAUAAUGGUGGAGAAUCUCAUAACGAUUUGUUUGUCUCAGAUUGCAGCAGAGUACUUGGAGGGCCCAUCAGGGAAAAAAGGAGGAGAUCUUGGAUGGUUCCCAAGGGAUAAGAUGGCUGGUCCUUUCCAAGAUGUCGCCGUCAACACACCUGUUGGCGUCACUAGUGCAUCUUUCAAAUCUACGCGCAGAUACCAUAUCAUCUUCCCCGAAGGAAGGAAGAACUGACUGAUUACUUACUUCUCUGUUCUGGCUCUGCUUUGGUGGAACUCACUUGCUAGUUGUUGAUGUAACCUAUAUAUAAGAAAUCCACAGCCUUUGUUAUCCUGGCCAAUAUGUUUGCUACGAAUUGUUUAAAAAAUCUUCUCUGAUGUUUUUACUAAUGAAUUUCUUAAGACUCGUUCAUUUCGGUGUU